AUGAACGCUAGCGACAGGCCUAACACAUGCAAGUCGAGGGGCAGCACAAGGAGCAAUCUGAGGUGGCGACCGGCGCACGGGUGAGUAACACGUAUGCAACCUGCCUGUAAGCGGGGAAUAACCCGUUGGAAGACGGACUAAUACCGCAUAAUACUAAAUUACUGCAUGGUAAUUUAUUUAAACAUUUAUGGCUUACAGAUGGGCAUGCGCAUGAUUAGCUAGUUGGAGAGGUAACGGCUCCCCAAGGCAACGAUCAUUAGGGGUUCUGAGAGGAAGGUCCCCCGCACUGGUACUGAGACACGGACCAGACUCCUACGGGAGGCAGCAGUGAGGAAUAUUGGUCAAUGGACGAGAGUCUGAACCAGCCAAGUCGCGUGCAGGAAGAAUGUCCUUAAUGGAUUGUAAACUGCUUUUGCAGGGGAAUAAAGUGCAUCACGUGUGAUGUUUUGUAUGUACUCUGCGAAUAAGGAUCGGCUAACUCCGUGCCAGCCGCAGC
rnacentral:rRNA from 1 species